GAUUGGGCAGAUUGUGAGCUCUCUCUCUCUCUCUCUCUGUGUCUCUCUCUCUCUCUAUGUCUGUGUGUGUGUGUGUGUGUAUGUGCUGAAAUUUUCUAUUUGCUGCGUUUGAUCGGACUGGCUGGGGAGUGACGAGCCAGCCGUGCAAAAAAAGUGGCCGUGACAAAGAUGGUCUUCCCAAUCCUUACAAGCACCAGUCUCAAGUGAGUGUUCUAUUCAUUGUCGUUUAAAAAA
rnacentral:lncRNA from 1 species